rnacentral:lncRNA from 1 species
GAGCGCGUUGUGAGGAGGCGCGUCGUGUGGAGGGCGUCGUGACGGGGACGUCGUGAGGGGCGCGCAGUGAGGCGAGUCUCUGCCCCCUCCCCCUGGAGCUCCCGCUCCCCAGCUCCCCCCACCGUCAGGGGCUCUUCCUGUCAGUGCCUCAUGGCCCUUGCAUUCGCCGCCCCCAGGCAGCCCUGUCCUCCUUGGGGAGUCAGCCUCUCUCGCCUGAGCCCGAGGGCCGCCUCCCCUUCUGCGCCAGCCCCCUUUGGCUUCCGGCUCUGGAGAUCUGCCCUCCAGUGGAUCUGUCCGAAACCGCCCUCACUUAGCGGGGCAGGAGGCAGCGAGCGCGCGCUGCGGGCAGGAGCGGUUUCUGCAGGAGGGACCCUGCCUGAGCUAAACACUGAGAAGACGGCAGGAGGCAGAAGGCGAGAGGGGGGAAAGGAAAAUAAUCUGGAAAGUUCCACCGCAGGAAAGACAGUCCUGGUGGCCAGCUGGCCUCUCAGAGGCCCCUUAGUAAGCUGAGGACCUGAACCCUUACGGAAAUGGAAUUGAGACAAGCACGAAGCAGAGUGGAACGAAACAGAACAGGGGAGACGCGGGCACAGGGGAGCGCAGAGGGAUCUCUGGGUGCUUAAGGAAUGGAGACUGCGGCAGGCCAGCGGGGCUAAGUCCCGGGGGCGCAGAUGCCUGUGUGCGGGGGCAGGUGCUUGAGUGCGGGGCUAACAGAGGCUGGCAUCCCCGAGCUCCGUCUCCACACGUGCUGACUCGUGGCUCAGGAGGAAGCCUCGCCUGGCAGAAAGCCUUAGAAUCCAGGGGCCUCUGCCCAGAGGAGGUCUCGUCGUGUGUCGAAGGACCAGGGCGAGGGCGCUGGGCUGCCCUGUGCUUCGCUGACGGCCCUGGCACUCUCACUGCUGGCCUGGCCGUGGAGGGAAGGGCUCGGAGAGUAAGUGCACGCUCCUGGCACUGUCGUGCGUGCAGUGGCGCCAGAACCCGUGAGUGUCGGCCAGGCAGUGCGGCAGCAGGGAGUACGUUUGCGGCUCUGGCUUCAACCGACCUGGGCUUCAAUUCCGAGUUCCACCGCUUUGGAGCUGUGGGGCCAUGGAUAAUGGCUCAACCUUCCCGAAUGAUUUUUUUCAUCUGCAACCAUGGAGAAAAUUAUAACAGCCACAUGAAAGGAUUGUUGAGGGGAUGCAGUGAGUUUCUUCAAAGCACUGAGUAAACAUCCUACACAGUUCUCAAGCCCCGGCUAAAUGGGGAAAGCCCCUUAAGGAUGGGGCCAUGUUAGCAGGUUACUCUUAGUCCUCAGCACUUCCGCAUCCAUUAUUUCUCUUAAUGAAUUAAUAUCUGUGAGGCAUGUGUUAUAAAUAAUAUUCCCUAACUGGAUUUAAAAGGGGAGCGUCCUGGGAACUUCAGGCUCUUUAAGGAGUGUGGCCCCUGUCACCCCGGGGACCAGGGCCCCUGCGGCCGGAGGUGUCAGCCAGGGUGAGGACCUCUUCCUUUUCUUUGAGAGUAGGACUAAAUUAACAAGCUGAAGCCAGCUUACCUUGGAUGUGGAUCAUUUUGGCAGUGUUCAACUUUGAGACAAGGAAGUCUGAGACAUUAUUGUCAGCGGAGAGAGGCCCCAGACAGAAGGUCACUUCCUGAGGUGUCUGGGGAGCACUGUGGCAGGAGACCCCCAUUUCCCAGCAAUUGCUUCCUUACUCAAUCUUUCAGCUACCUGGACUUUACUACCACAUCUACAGAGUCAUCGUUGGCUUCUAAUGAUGAGCCUGAGGCACUGGGGUGCCUUCUGAAUCAUCAGAGCCAGAUGAAAUUGUGUGUUAUUGAGAUGUGCUGUUCCCAUCUUUGCAGAGGCCAUGGAUGCAUGCAAUGAAAGCUUUUGCUGAGCCGAAUACACUGUUAGCACGACUGUCUCCCCAGCCCUGACGUAUUGCACCAGACAAACACCAGACGUCAAGGACAUUGGGAAAGCACUGACAUGUUCAGCCAGGCAGUGUGGGGAUGGACCCCCAGUCCGGAGAUGAAAACCUCCAGCCAGCCCAGUGCUUCCCAGCAGGGAGCACAGAACACCAUCAAGCCUCAAGAUGUUGCUUUCCUAAAACAGACCAGCGUGGUUCAUGGAUUUGGGGCUCUAAGUGCCCCCCAUUUCUCUUCUCCUAGACCUCAUCCCCAGCAUCGCGACACUAUUCAGGCUGGAGCACCCAGCUGGGAGGUUAAACUUUCCUAACCUGGGCUCAACCUUGGUUUCGUCUCAGUCUUAAUUUUGCUUCAGCCUGGUCUGUCUUGCUGGUUUAUGCUGUCAUCUAAUACAGGGCCAGCAAUGAAGAUGCUCAGUAAAAGCUGUUGAAAGGAUAAAUUUAAAGGUUUAAAUUGUUUUAUUUUACUAUUUUAUUUAUUUUUUUCAUUUCUUGAAUAUAUAAUAUGCACUGGCAUGCCCCUCUAUUCCUCCAGCACUUAUUUCUACCAUUCAGAGACAAGCACGUUUACCAGUUUCUUGGCAAUGCAAGUAUUAUAUAAUGCAUUAUCUGCAUAAAUAUAUGUCAUACAUACACAUACAUACAUGUAUACACAUAUACAAUAUAUUAUAUGAGUGACAGUAUCCUAAACAUACUUCACAUUGUUUUUGUUUGUUGUUCUUUUUUUUCCUUUUUACUUCUUCACAUUAGUUUUUUUAACUUUCUAUAUUGGAAAUUGUUUCAUUUCAGCACAUAUAGAGCAUCCUCACUCUUUGAAAUGGCGUCAUAGCAUUUUAUUGUAUGGCAGUACCAAUAUUUGUUGAACCACCACCACUAACAGACAUUAAAUUAUUUCUAUUCUUUUGCUUUGACAAAUACCACUGUGCUCAGUGCACUUGUGCAGGAGUCGUUCUGCACCCUUGGGGUAGAUCCAUAGGCUAAACACCUAGAGUUGCUGGGUUGAAGACUUCAUGCGUAUUAAAUUUUGUUAGCUGUCAUCAAAGAACCUUCUAUGGAAAUUUUACCUGUUUACAGUUCCAGCAGCAAAGAUAAACUGCGCAUUUCCCCCCGCCCCAACCAUCUUUACAAAUACAUUGUGGGAACAAACUUUAUUUGUACGAUUCCUUGCCAAUCUGAUGAGCAAACCAAAUUGUAUUUCAGUGUUGUUUUAGUUUACAUUCUUAUUGUAAGGAGUUUGAGCACCAAGGAACUGGUUAUGUAUGUGUGUACAGUCUUCAGGUACUUUUUAAAUUAAGUUAUUGUCCUUUUUAAAUAUUGAUUUUUAGGAAUCAGUAUUUAGAACACACAACACAAUUAACUGUGUUGGCAGUUUUCCUCUGAUGUGAAGUACAUGAAUUUUUCCUAAUUUAUUAUCAUUUAAUUUUGUUUCUGGUGAUGUUUGCCAUUCAGGAAUAUCUUAGUUUGAGGUGUGGGGAGUUGAUCAAAUUUCUCAAUCUUUUCUUUUCUGGCUUAAAGAUUUUGUGUCAGAAUUAAAAAGAUCCUUUCUGAAUCAGA